rnacentral:lncRNA from 1 species
UGGGUACAACAGAAACUAAUGUAUUCCACCAAUAAUAGGCAGAAUCACGUAGCAAAGAUAUAGCACAUUUCAGGCAUUCAUCGGGUGUGCAAGAUAGUUCAUCAAGUACUCGAAUAGUGUUGUCCAACCAAAAUUCAGGUUGCUCGGCAUCAUCACUGUCUGUAGCUUUAAAUUCAGUAGCCCCGUACUUUUGAAUUCUGUCAACCGAGGGCUUAUUCAACCUCAUCUGAUCAAUUACAGGAGGUAUCGUGGGUGCAAGGGGUGU